rnacentral:rRNA from 1 species
ACGAAAGUUACGCUAAUACCGCAUACGCUCGAGAGAGGAAAGUGGGGGAUCGCAAGACCUCACGUUAUAGGAGCGGCCGAUGUCCGAUUAGCUAGUUGGUGGGUAAAGGCCUACCAAGGCGACGAUCGGUAGCUGGUCUGAGAGGAUGAUCAGCCACACUGGAACUGAGACACGGCCCAGACUCCUACGGGAGGCAGCAGUGGGGAAUUUUUGGACAAUGGGCGAAAGCCUGAUCCAGCCAUGCCGCGUGCGGGAAGAAGGCCUUCGGGUUGUAAACCGCUUUAGUCCGGGAAAAGGGGUGCGAGGAUAAUACCCUCGUGCUUUGAUGGUACUAGAAGAAUAAGCACCGGCUAACUACGUG